rnacentral:misc_RNA from 1 species
AACGCACCUUGCGCUCCUAGGUCUUCCGAGGAGCAUGCCUGUUUGAGUGCCCAGAACUACUCUCAACUAACACCUUGUGUGCGAGUUGGAUGUGGGGGUUCUGCUGUUGACUUGUUCACAGCUCCUCCUAAAUAUGUUAGCCUGUUGGUGAUGAACCACUGUUGGCUUGAUAUUAAUGUCUAUGCCGCGGUUGUACAUGUGUCCAUGGCUUAUAAUCGUCUUCGGACAAUAUUUCUGAGCUCGGGCCUCAAAUCAGGUAGGAUUACCCGCUGAACUUAA